UACGGAGGGUGCGAGCGUUGUCCGGAAUCACUGGGCGUAAAGGGCGCGUAGGUGGCGCGGGUAGUCGUCGGUGAAAGCUCAGGGCUCAACCCUGAGUCGGCCGUCGAUACUCCCGGGCUCGAGCACUGUAGAGGCAGGUGGAAUUCCGGGUGUAGCGGUGGAAUGCGUAGAGAUCCGGAAGAACACCGGUGGCGAAGGCGGCCUGCUGGGCAGUUGCUGACACUGAGGCGCGACAGCGUGGGGAGCAAAUAGG
rnacentral:rRNA from 1 species